rnacentral:rRNA from 1 species
GGAUUAGAUACCCUGGUAGUCCACGCCGUAAACGAUGAGAACUAGAUGUUGGAGGGAUUUAGCCCUUCGGUGUCGUAGCUAACGCGUUAAGUUCUCCGCCUGGGGAGUACGCCGGCAACGGUAAAACUUAAAGGAAUUGACGGGGGCUCACACAAGCGGUGGAGCAUGUGGCUUAAUUCGAAACAACGCGAAGAACCUUACCCAGGCUUGACAUGCUUGGAUGCGCCCAGGGGAUAACCCAGGGUUGCUGCUCUUCGGAGUGAAACAAGUACAGGUGUUGCACGGCUGUCGUCAGCUCGUGUCC